rnacentral:rRNA from 1 species
UACGGGGGGAGCAAGCGUUGUUCGGAUUUAUUGGGCGUAAAGAGCGUGUAGGCGGCCAGGUAGGUCUGCUGUGAAAACUCGAGGCUCAACCUCGAGACGUCGGCGGAAACCAUCUGGCUAGAGUCCGGAAGAGGAGAGUGGAAUUCCUGGUGUAGCGGUGAAAUGCGCAGAUAUCAGGAAGAACACCCGUGGCGAAGGCGGCUCUCUGGGACGGUACUGACGCUGAGACGCGAAAGCGUGGGGAGCAAACAGG